rnacentral:rRNA from 1 species
GAUGAACGCUGGCGGCGUGCCUAAUACAUGCAAGUCGAGCGAACAGACGAGGAGCUGUCGCCUCUGACUGUAUCGGCGGACGGGUGAGUAACACGUGGAUAACCUACCUAUAAGACUGGGAUAACUUCGGGAAACCGUAGCUAAUACCGGAUAAUAUAUUGAACCGGAUUGUUCAAGAGUGAAAGACGGUAUUGCUGUCACUUAUAGAUUGAUCCGCGCCGCAUUAGUUAGUUGGUAAGGUAACGGCUUACCAAGGCGACGAUGCGUAGCCGACCUGAAAGCGUGAUCGCCUACACUGGCACUGAGACACAGCCCAGACUCCUGCGGGAGGACGCAGUCGGGACUCCUACGCGAGGCGCGAGAGGCUGACGGAGCACCGCCGCGUGAGUGCUGAAGGUCUUCGGAUCCUAAAACUCUGUUAUUCUGGAAGUACAAAUGUGUAAGUACCCAUGCACGUCUUGACGGUACCUAAUCAGAAAGCCACGGCUAACUCCGUG